AUUGAACGCUGGCGGCAUGCCUUACACAUGCAAGUCGAACGGUAACAGGUCUUCGGAUGCUGACGAGUGGCGAACGGGUGAGUAAUACAUCGGAACGUGCCUAGUAGUGGGGGAUAACUACUCGAAAGAGUGGCUAAUACCGCAUGAGAUCUACGGAUGAAAGCAGGGGAUCGCAAGACCUUGUGCUACGAGAGCGGCCGAUGGCAGAUUAGGUAGUUGGUGGGAUAAAAGCUUACCAAGCCGACGAUCUGUAGCUGGUCUGAGAGGACGAUCAGCCACACUGGGACUGAGACACGGCCCAGACUCCUACGGGAGGCAGCAGUGGGGAAUUUUGGACAAUGGGCGAAUGCCUGAUCCAGCAAUGCCGCGUGCAGGAUGAAGGCCUUCGGGUUGUAAACUGCUUUUGUACGGAACGAAAAGCCCCGGGUUAAUACCCUGGGGUCAUGACGGUGCCGUAAGAAUAAGCACCGGCUAACUACGUGCCAGCAGCCGCGGUAA
rnacentral:rRNA from 1 species